rnacentral:rRNA from 1 species
GUAGGUGGCAAGCGUUGUCCGGAAUUAUUGGGCGUAAAGCGCGCGCAGGCGGUUCUUUAAGUCUGAUGUGAAAGCCCACGGCUCAACCGUGGAGGGUCAUUGGAAACUGGAGAACUUGAGUACAGAAGAGGAAAGCGGAAUUCCACGUGUAGCGGUGAAAUGCGUAGAGAUGUGGAGGAACACCAGUGGCGAAGGCGGCUUUCUGGUCUGUAACUGACGCUGAGGCGCGAAAGCGUGGGGAGCAAACAGGAUUAGAUACCCUGGUAGUCCACGCCGUAAACGAUGAGUGCUAAGUGUUAGGGGGGUUUUCCGCCCCCCUUAGUGCUGCAGCUAACGCAUUAAGCACUCCGCCCCGGGGAGUACGGCCGCAAGGCUG